GACGAACGCUGGCGGCGUGCUUAACACAUGCAAGUCGAACGGAAAGGCCCUGCUUUUGUGGGGUGCUCGAGUGGCGAACGGGUGAGUAACACGUGAGUAACCUGCCCUUGACUUUGGGAUAACUUCAGGAAACUGGGGCUAAUACCGGAUAGGAGCUCCUGCUGCAUGGUGGGGGUUGGAAAGUUUCGGCGGUUGGGGAUGGACUCGCGGCUUAUCAGCUUGUUGGUGGGGUAGUGGCUUACCAAGGCUUUGACGGAUAGCCGGCCUGAGAGGGUGGCCGGCCCCACGAGAACUGGGACGCGGUCCAGAGGGAUACGGGAGGCGGCAGUAGGGAAUCGGACGCAGCGGGCGCGAGCGUGGCGGAGCAGCGGCGCGUGAGUGAGGCCGGUGCUCGGAUCGUAAAACGGUGUUAGGAGGGAAGAACAUAUGUGUAAGUAACUGUGCACAGCUGGACGGUACCUAAUCAGAAAGCCACGGCUAACUACGUG
rnacentral:rRNA from 1 species